AUUGAACGCUGGCGGAAUGCUUUACACAUGCAAGUCGAACGGCAGCACGGACUUCGGUCUGGUGGCGAGUGGCGAACGGGUGAGUAAUGUAUCGGAACGUGCCCAGUCGUGGGGGACAACGUAGUGAAAAUUACGCUAAUACCGCAUACGAUCUAUGGAUGAAAGCGGGGGAUCGCAAGACCUCGCGCGAUUGGAGCGGCCGAUAUCAGAUUAGGUAGUUGGUGGGGUAAAGGCCCACCAAGCCAACGAUCUGUAGCUGGUCUGAGAGGACGACCAGCCACACUGGGACUGAGACACGGUCCAGACUCCUACGGGAGGCAGCAGUGGGGAAUUUUGGACAAGGGGCGAAAGCCUGAUCCAGCCAUUCCGCGUGCAGGAUGAAGGCCCUCGGGUUGUAAACUGCUUUUGUACGGAACGAAAAGGUUUCUACUAAUACUAGGAGCUCAUGACGGUACUGUAAGAAUAAGCACCGGCUAACUACGUGCCAGCAGCCGCCGUAA
rnacentral:rRNA from 1 species